rnacentral:misc_RNA from 1 species
UUUCCGUAGGUGAUCCUGCGGAGGGAUCAUUACAGAGUUCAUGCCCUACCGGGUAGAUCUCCCACCCUAUGUUAUUAUUACUUUGUUGCUUUGGCGGGCCGUUAGGCUCCGGCCCGACUACCGGCCCCGGCUGGUAAGCGCCCGCCAGAGGACCCAAAACCCUGAAUAUUAGUGUCGUCUGAGUACUAUAUAAUAGUUAAAACUUUCAACAACGGAUCUCUUGGUUCUG